UGCAGCCGAGUUCCCUCCUGAUCUUCAACGGCAAAAGGGACGGCGGCUGAAGGUGGUGCCUCCGGUUCUGUUCGGGCUUAAGAUCCAUGAAAAGAGGGAGCCAAAGGCGAGAGCUUUGAAAACUUCUCCAAGGAUUCGUUUUUCAUUAUGGAAACCUCGGCCAAUGGAAAACAACAGGUGGUGGCACAAGGCUGGCGGAUAUAUAGGAUGAGACUCUGCCGCCCCUUGGACUCCAAUUUUCGUGCCGGACAAGGGGAGAGAUGCAUAAGAGAUUCAUACAA